AUCUUUCCGCUUGAAACCCUAGACUUGGCGGGGCAAGCACUCAAUCCUCCCUAUUCUUCCCAUGGUAUGGCCUCGACCAGGGCAGGGCGUCCUCCCUCCGCUUCGCCUCUGCAGAUUCGCUCUCCCCUUUGGAACCAGCAUGAUAGAAUGACGGGCGUGUGACGGGGCAGACGCUGAAGGAGGUCGAGACGAACAUUGGACGCUGCCGAUAGUGCUUCGCGGCGAGCGGGAGCUUCUCGCUUAAAACAAGGAGUACAAGGCUGGAGUUUCGGAGUUGUAAGUUGCUGAUCGAGGAGAAUAAUCGAGAAGUAAAUGUUCUGCCAUAUUAUGUGUUAUCGAUCUGCAUUAGGAUCUUUGCCUGAAUCAGAGAGAGGAGAUGAAGGCAUUGUUGCUGCUGUUCCUGGAUGUUAUGAAUUCUUAGCUGCAGGAGCUGCUGGAUUUUUAGCUGAACCGGCAGCGCUAGUCUUCCCAAGCCUCCAGAGGCAGGCCACCUCUCUCUGUGGACAGCUCCAGCGUCUUGCAGAGAUCUUGGUGAGAGCAUUCUUUGGAUAAAAUGAACAAAAGAAAGGAAAUCCUCAAGCUUCUUGAGGCAUUUACACACCUUUGCUUGGUUUAUGCACUAUUGGAUGGUUAGGAACUGAGGAGGGAGUCUUAGGACAAAUUUGACAUGC